AUAACACCGUUUAAUUUCAGAAUACCACUUUUUAGAGUAUGAAAUAACUGUAACCCUGUGAAUAGUUGGUGCGUUUUAGGAUUGGUGGUACAAGUUUAAAUUCCAGCCUCUACACACAAAAUUUAGCUACAAAAGUAGCUGCCUUUACCCAUCCGUAACAUCGUAUUCUUCCAACAUCCUUCUCUUCAUGGAUUCGCUAGUAUUGGCAUGGUUGCUUUGCCCAUAACACCAGCUCGUAUUACAAACCUCUUGUGUUUAGCUUCUGGAGAAAGUGCCCUCGUUGCUAGUCAUCUUCCUGGAAUUGCAACUGGACACCCUGUGUGCAUACCAAAGUGCCUCCCCCUGCUAGGGAACAAACUCCAGCCCUUGCUUUCUCAGAGCAGUAUGACUUGCUUCGUGCUUGCAUUCUCUCUCCCCUGGCUGGGAUUUAGAAAAUACACUCAAGGAAAAAGCUGAGAGGAAUCUGCAGCUCACCUCUGUAUUCUCCCAUCUUCUUAAUCUUGCCUGCAUUGAUUGCCCCCCCAGUUGUCUUAUUUACAGGCAGCAAUUGUUUUGCAUGGGUCCAGUAGUUAAUAUGCUUUAGUUAAAUAAUACUAGGUCCUUAACAAUCUGGUUCAAAUUUCACUUACUUUCAUAUAGUUACUGAAAUUACAUAAAGUACAAACUUUAUUGCUAGCUCUUUAGUCCAUGAAUCAUUUACCAGCAUAGAUGCAUCAUGAUCAGAGACCAGUCACAUCACUUCCUUCAGUGUCUGUCAGUGAGUCAUCGUUACUCACCUGUUACUUAGUUUACUUACAGACAGCAAAGCAUGUAGUUGUGUUCCCUCCUUGUCUCCAGUGAUAAGCCCAUAUAACAUUUUGUAAAAGUGGAUAAUUGAAAGAGGGAAUUGGCCAAGAAAGAUGAAAGUGUAGCAAAUCCACAGAAAGUGGUAAUGUUGGUCGUGGGAUUUUACAGGAAUAAUGGAAUCGUAAAAGAAACAGCGGGCUGUGAGCGUGUUGACACUACCAUCUUUUGAGAUGCUAGAUAUGCAGCCACAGGAACUUGGCGAAGGUGAACGUUUCCGCAUAAAUGGGGAAAGUGAUUGUGACAAAAAGGGUGAAUUUAUCCCUGGCAAAAUGAUGCUGGCAAAAAACUUAGCAUUACAGGAACGCUCACGUUCCUGUAAUGUUUCAUGACAUUGGAAGUGCAAAUGAUGAAAUGCAAAUGAUGAAGUCGAUCUGGACCCAGAAAGGCAUGUGACAGUUUGCCAAGGUUUAGGAAAGAUGCUCGCUUGUAAGCUCUAUGUCAAGAAAGCAAGCACUAUUCAAACUGUGCUUUAGUUUUUUACAGAAUAAUAAAUAAGAUGCUGGAAUUCUCAGCGCUUCUCAUGUUUUAAAUUCCAGUAUACUAAAUAAAUUAAUUUUGUUUACUUCAUUUUCUUACGCAUUUAUAACUAAGAGAGUUAGUUUUUAAUGUUUUGACAAUUUUUAAAGACCACACCAUUGAUUAUUAAGAUCACUUUGCACGGUUUCAUGGUGACUUUGACAGUCCUGCACUACUAUGCAAAGCAAGGCUUGCCUGUAUUUGUCCAUAUAGUUGUUUUUAGAUAGGAAAUUAGUCCAAAAUAAGCUGGAAUUUAAUGGCAAUAAUGAGAAUAAAAUAGAAGACCCACUUUCUCCCCCCGACUCCACCCUUGAAAACAUAAUUUUAGUAAUUUUUAAAAACUGUGAUCCAUUUUUAUCUUUGAGACUAUACUAUUACCAUGGCAAAGAGGUGUUUGUUGUCAUGUAGUAUUUAUUGAACUUUUAUUAUACAAAACAGGGCAUUAUCUGAGACUUCAGUAGUGCAAAAGGUACAUACUUUAUGACAGUGUGUAUUGUAAAUUAAAUUUUGUCAUUUCUCUUAAUUUCUUAGAUUUGAGUUACAAUGAGUUGCUCCUUAGUUUUAUAUUUGUAUGUUUGGUAUUUCUUAAUUAGAUUGUAAGUUUUGCAAAGGCAGCCUUUCCCCUUCUUUAUCUUACUGAGUAUACAAAUUCCUAUUAAAUAUUUAAGAGAGUUUACAAUCCCUUAAGAUAUAUUUCUUCCUUUUUCUUGCUGGCUAUUUGAAGAUGAAUUGAAAUUGUAGGAGACUUGUGAAUAAGAAGAUAACCUAAGUUGAAGAAGCCUGGAAUCUUGUCAAGAGAGCAGGGAUCUGAGAAUAAUUUGGCUUCAGAAGUGAAGUAAAUAAUCUAAAUGGGCAUUCAAGUAGGUGUUCUUGAAAUCUGUUGCGAACUGGGUGAGCCUGCUGUAGAGAGAGCUCAAGGAUUCAGCAGCAGAUUCUAAAGAUGAUUAAAAUGUUUCACUUGGGGCAUUGGAGGCUUGGGUGUGAGGGGCUGGUUAGGAGUUGUUUAGUCUCAACUCUCCUAGCAGCUAGCAGCUCCAUAGGGCAACUCAUUCAAUCCCUUUGAGCUUCAGUUUCUUUAUAUGUAAAACAUGAGCAUAUCUGCUAUGUUCUCUUAUAGGUGUCUUUAGAGGCUUUAAUGAAACACUUACACAGUUUAUGGGAAAGUGUGUGAAAGGAAGGAAAGCUGUCUUGAAAAGAAUUACUGAGAAGUCACUUUGAGACCCUAGAACAGGGGGUUGGCAGACUAUGGUCAUGGGUCAGCCACCAGUUUUUAUAAAAACAGUCUUUAUAAUAAAGACUUGUUAGAACCCUGCCACACCCGUUAUUUGUGUAUUGUCUGUGACAGCUUUCAUGCUACAAUGGCUGAGUUAAUAGUUGUGACAGAGACCAUGUGGCCCACAGCCUAAAAUAUUUACUUGCUCUGCCCGCUUUAGAAAGCAUUUGCCAGCUCACAGAAGGUUGACUAAACCAACAGCUCGUAUUUAUCAUUGACCUAAAGCAUGACUCAGAAUGUCACAUUCAGAGUUUGGUAUAACUUAAUGUAUCAGACUUAGUCUAAUAACUGCCUUCAUUGCUAUUUUUUGGCGUAAAAUACCUCUUUUCCUAUUUUUGUCUUAGCUCAUAUUCUUUCUUGGACAUAUGACUGUUUUAAAGUUAGCUUUAUUAAGUUAAAUUUUAUUAAAUUACUUUUCAAAUUGAAUUUCAUUAAAUCUGACUGGAAAUGGUAUGUGGUUAAAAUGUAUUCUUCCAUUUUUAUUUUUAGUCCUAAAUUAUUUUUUGUAGCAAUUCUGUUUGGUCUGUCUUGCUUGUACUGGUAAUGAUUGAACUUACACUCAAAAUCGUUUGUGUGGUAUCCUGUGGGUACUGGAGACCUUGGUAGUUUAUUUAUUCUGCUUUUUAAAAUCUAAACUAUUCAUUUAGGAAAUUUUUAGCUAAGUAAAGGCUGUCUGUAGGAAAUCUAUCUGGGGAUAAAAGGCUGAAUGUUACCUACAUUAAAGUAAAUUGAUGAAAGAUGGGUUUAGUAGUUCCUUCUGCCUAAAAUGCCCUUUCCUUCUCUUUUGUCUAAUUCCUACUUGUGCUUUCGUGCUUAUUUCUCUCAUCACCUGCUAUGUGAAGUCUUCUUUAUUUUUUUAGCCAACAGAUAUUUAAAGAAGAUCUAACAUGUUCCUGACACUACUAGGAGUUAGUGACCAUCUAGCAGUGAUAAAACAAACAUGGACCCUGUCUGCAUGAAGCUUAUAGCCACAUGGAGGCAGAACUACCCAUGUUUUCAUGCUGUCAGGGCUCCUUGUCUGCCCAUAUGCAUUUUUGCUCUCCUAUUUUAUCAUGUUCUCAUAUAGUUAUGAUUUAUGUAAUUCUGCUAGAAUAUAAAUUUCUCCUGGUUGGAGUGUAUUAUACAUUUUGUAAUCCCUACCAUCUAGUCCAGUCUUAGGCAUAGAGCAGACAGAGUUAAUAUUGACUGAAUGGCUAUUUAUUCCUUUUUAAUACUGUAAGGAAAUAAUAUCAACAGGCUUUUAUAAAUAGUUUAAUACUAGUGUAAAAUGGAGGAAGUAUUUUGUUUGAAUUUAUUUAUGGAAAUGGAUUUUAUGUUUAAGAACUUUUCCGUCCAAAAGAAGGUCCUAUUAAUUUGUAAAAACAAAGAUAUUUCACCUUUUGAUUUGUAUAAUUGUCAAUUGGUCAGAAUUGAGACAUAGCAGAUGGUAAAUGUAUUUCAUUCAGAACUGCACCUGUAGAUCCUAACAACUAAACAACGAUUUAAACAGUUUUUGAAUACUUUCAAAUGCUAAUUUUAAUUUUUCAGAUCUGUGUGAAAGAGAAAUAAGAAAAACUUUUGAAACCAAGAAAACUCAUUUAAGACAUACUGUGCCUUUCAGUGUUUUUUAUGGGUUUUCAUUUUAGAUAUAAGAGUAUUUAACCUCCCUGUGAAACCACGUUAAUGACCACAAAAAAGAAAAGAAAGUAACAUUUUUAUUAUAUAUGAGGCUGUUGUCACUACAUGUGCAGGCUAUUUUCUAUUAAAUGUCAAGCUAUUUUUCUUAUAAGCUAGAGAUUUUCUUAUAAGCUAGAGAUUUGAAGAAAUCUCCAAAAUAUAUUUUUAACAUAUGACUUAGUUUUCGGCAUUGGUUUUUUGAAUACACUAAAAAAGAAAAGAUAGCAUUAAAUAAAUUCCAUAGUCCGUCAAAUAAAUCUAAGUUUUGACUGCUAAAUCUGUUGAAAAUUUACAUUGUUUCUGAAGUAUGGUUAAUCCUUUUGAGCUAAGUAAUUUUUUAGAGUAAUCCAUUAUUUGGUAGUGAGCCAUUUUAACCUAAAACUGGUUUUUAAGAGGAAAUAAUGAAUCCUGAAAGGUGAUUUUUAAAACAAAUCAUAACAUUUUGGAAAUACUUUUGUUUGGGGGCGCCUGGGUGGCUCAGUUAGUUAGGUGUCCGACUUCGCCUCAGGUCAUGAUCUCGAGGUCUGUGGGUUUGAGCCCUGCGUCGGGCUCUGUACUGAUAGCUCAGAGCCUGAAGCCUGCUUCAGACUGUGUCUCCCUCUCUCUGCCCCUUCCUAGCUCAUGCUCUGUCUCUCAAAAAUAAAUAAACAUUAAAAAAAUUUAUUAAAAAGAGAAAAUACUUUUGUUUGUUAGGUGAUGUAAAAGAUAAAUGCAAUGGUUUUAACUCUUUGGAGGCUUGUAUGGUAGAGGCAGUUGGAUUGUAAUUGCAUUGCUUUGUUUUUAUCAGUUGCAUGUGGUAGAAUAAGUAUUGGACUGAAGAUCUGUUGGUCUGAGAAGGACCUGAUCUUUAUGUCUUACCAGUUGUGUGGUCUGGCAGAUCACUUUCCUCUCUAAGCUGGAGUUCCUUAUAAAUGUGAAUGCGGUAAGAGUUCACGAAACUCACAUUCAAGGACUAUAAAGUCAUAAUCAUAUAUACCUGAAUUCUAAUGAUUAGAUCUUUUCAAUUGAUUCCAAAGGAUUUCUUGGAAGGAGAUUUACUAUUGAUGAUCUCUCUCUCUUACCUCUCCCUCUUUCUUUCUUCCCCUCCCCUCCCCCUCUCUUUCUUCCCCUCCCCUCCCCCUCUCUUUGUUCCCCUCUUUCCCUUUUCCCUUCUUCCCUCUCCCUCCCUGUCCCUUUGAAGCAAGACUUGAGUGGAAGGUAACUUUCCAGAAAUAAGUGUGGUGUCAUAGAAAGAGUAUUAAAGCAGAGAGAGAAGAGAUUUUAAGAUUGAGCUGUGUAUCUUGAAGCUUCAAUUUCUAUGAUGUUGUUACAGUGUCAGAUGCUGUUCUAGGUGUAGGUGGUAUGGAAGGAGGUUCCUAAGAGGAGGCAUAAGUACUUCUCUUGCACCUUUUGUCUGAACAAGAGGUCGAUAUUUGGUAAGCUUUCUGUUUGUCUUUAGCAAAAUUCAGAUUUUUACCACUUGUGAGAACACUGAGUUUACAUUGUGUAAAUAAGAGCAGAGUAAAUAGUAUAAUGAGCCCCCACAUACCUGUCACCCAGCCUCAGCAGUUAUCAAUAUGUGGCCAAUCUGUUUCCUCUAUUACUUCUCGUCCCUCCCCCACGUUCAGUUUAUAGGAAUUUUUAUCCUUUCAUACAGUGCCACAGAUAUUGUUUAUAGAUCUAUAUUCUUCAUAGAUUUUAUACUCUGAUAUUUAAUGAAGGCAUGCAAACAACAUUCAUUAUAGGAGAGUCAUGCCCAGAUCCUGGUAGUUUGGUUCAGCCAAUUACAGGAACCUGUCAUGUGCCUGGCACUGCACUAGGCAUAGGGGCCCCUGGGGUGGAUGUGACAGGCAGAGUCCUUUCUUCAGAGCUUACAGUCUGUUAGACGAGCCAGACAUUAAACGGAUAGCCUUUAAAUAAUUAUCACAUUUAUAACUUGAGUUGUGGAGGAAAGAGGAAGGGAUAGAAAGCAGGGUGGUUGUGAUGAAAGUGUUCCAGGCACAGGGAAUGACCGGGUUGGGCAGAGAAGCAAUAAAGAGCUUAAUAAGUUCUGAGAGCUCAGGGAGGCCAUUCUGACGAGAGCAUGGUGAUCAAGACCGAGAGUGGCUAGUAGGUAACAGUCCAAACUAGGCAGAGACCUGACAGUGCAAGUUAGCCGAGACCCUGUCUAUUCAGGACCUUAUAGGCUAUUUUAAUGAUACGGAACUUAAUCCCUAGAGAGUGAGGUGGGGUAGAUAGGGGACCACUGAAAGAUUUUAAGUAAGACUAUAACAGAUUUUCUUUUUAGAGGCAUGUCUUUGAAUGCAGUGUGGUUAACGAAUUAAUUCCUGCUAUAUAACUUGGUCCGUAUUUUAUGGGUAUCAUUUUCACGCUAAUUCAUUGAACAAGUAGUUAGUGAAUCUAUGCUGGUGAUAAAACAGACUGAAAUUCCUACCCUUAUGCAGCCACAAUUCUAGUGGGAGAGACUGACAAGAAGCAUAUAUACAUAAGUAAAAUGCUUCAUGUGUCAUAUGAUGAUAAGCGCUGUGGGAGAAAAAUAAAACAGGGAAAGGUGAGAGAGAACUGUGUGGGGAUAGGGCGUUGCUAUUUUAAAUAGAAUGGUUGUGGAAGGUAUCACUGAUUGGGUGACAUUAAAUAAAGAUCCAAAGCAGCAUUAUGCUGUAUCUUGGGGUUAAUACCUCCCUAGGCAGAGGGACCAUCGAGGGCAAAGGCCUGAGGUGAGAGAAUGCUGGGUAGUUUCAAAGAAUAUAAUCCUGUUUGUAGCUUUUUGAAAUUACAGAUAAUGUAAGGGUUUUUUUCUGGCAUACCUCUUUUUCUCUAGCCUUCUUGUCUAUUUUCCCUCUACCUUUAUAGUCUCACUUUUGUUUUUUUCUGUGUAGCAAAAAUGACACUCUUGUAUCUACUUGUUUUCAUAAGUCUCUUGGGAUACAAAACAUCCUUUUGGCAGUUGAUUUUACACUAUUUGAAAGCAAUAAACAAAGUGUAAGAAUGGAUACCAGGAGGGAUUGGACCUAUUUGUAUUAAGGUGGUUAGGGAAGACCACUUUUAGGAGAUGAUAUUUAACCUGAAGUCUUAAGGAUGAGAACGAACGAACUGCCACUUCAGGAAUAGCGUGCUUCAAGGACACGAUGCAACAAAGAGUUUGGUAUGUUUUAAGGAACUGGAGGAAGGCCACUGUGUCGUGGAUAAUAGUGACCACGAGGGAAGGGUGACAUGAGGUGGGGUUGGAGAGAUGGGAAAGAGCUAGAUGAUGCAGGGCCUUGUAUAGGCCAAGGAAAAUAAUUUAGAUGUUACCUGCGAUGGGAAGUCACUGGAGAAUUUUUAAGCGGGAGAGUGAUGAGAUACAAAGAGGAUGUAAGAACAUUCUGGCUGCUGAAUGGAGGAUGGAAAAGAAGGAGCCAAGAUUAGAAGUGGAGAGGCUGUAGUAGUAGGUCCAGGUAUAAGAUGAAAUGGAGGAAAGCCGGUAAAUUUGGGGUUUAUUCUGGAGGUAGAAUGGACAGAAUCUGUUAGAUUGGCUGUAAUGUUGGGGUGAAAAAAAGGGAGAGAAUCAUUUCUGGAUUCUGACUGGGACAGCUAGAUGGAUAGUGCUGCUUUAUACUGUGAUAUGAAAUAACUAGAUGGGGAACAGGUUUGGGGCGGGGAACCAACCCUAACUGAGGAGGUCAGCUUUGAGGCUGAAAAUCUGAGAUGUCUCUGAGACAUUCAUGUGGAGCUGUGUUGUGUUAGCUAUUGCUAGAGUUAGUUAUUGCUACUGUGCGCGUGUGGCAGCGGAUGGAGACGGCUUAAUAAGUUUGCAUUGAAUGCCGCAGGUUCUCAUUUCCUACUCGUUUACUUUUACAGGUGCCAUCUUUAUUAUUUGUCCUUUAAGUCAGUGUCCCCAGUGACACACGGCCGCGAACUAUGGAGCAAUUGCAUGUAUUCCUGAUGUUUGGCAGUUCUUUAUACCCACUAACCAUUGUGUGCUUUCCUUUCUGCAUACAGCUGACUUUGUCAUUUCCAGUAUUUUGCCCGCCAUACAGUAAGGUGGGUAAGUUCAGCCUAAAGCUGUGUGUGUGGCAUUCCAGAAUCUACAACUUUGUGAGAAAGUUGCUUAAAGCAGAUUUGUAACCUGCUUGAGCAUUCAAUUAAGUUUUACUGUGAAACAGUCAGGUAUUUUUUACUCUAUUAUGUUACAUCUUUUAAAUCAGUCUCUCAGUGUUCUACUUUCUGCAAUUAAAAAUAAUGAUGGAAAUCUAAAAAGGUUUUGUAUUUGCGUUUUAAUAUAAAGCUAUACAGAUACUUUGUUAGGCUUUUGGAGAAAGAUUGCUCAAGAAAUUGCAUGAUUCCAAUGAAUAAAUACAUUUGGUAAUAAUUUGGAUCAUAGCCUCUUACAGUUCUUUGGGUAGUGUUGGCAGUGAAUAUCAUGAAUAAUAAAACUUGGUGAAAACAUUUAGACAGUUAUUUCAUAAUAUCCUACAGAUAAUCCUAACAAAAGUUUUUGACAACAGUCCAUUAUUAACAGUGAAUGGUCAUCUGUCCCAGCGUUCGUUGGUGGUAGAGAAUACAUGAGAUGCAGUUGAUAUAUGAUAAAUCAAUAUGACUAGGUUAAUUAUCUAAACUCUGAAUAAUAAUUGAAAAUGUUUUGGUGAAUUCCUAGCAUUAUAGGAUCACAAAGAUUUAGUUUUUAAUGCGCUUUUAAUUUCAAAUCAUCUACAAUGAAAUGAUUGCUCUAUCAUCUAUUUUAUUUAUAUUUCAUCCAGUUAAAAAACUUUCUAAAAAUUUAUACCUGCUAACAUACUAUCAUUUUUUUCCUAUAAUGUAAGUGUGGAAAGAUUUAAGAAGCUUUUCCUCCACCAUGUAGAGGAAAUGCAAACAAACAUCUGUCUCGUAAAUGAUUUUCACUGUUGGAGCCAUGACCUGUCAUUACUAUUUGAAUUUACAGCAUGGUUUCUCUUGGAAAAAAUUUAUACACACACAAUAUAUGCAUAUAUAGUUCAACUUAUUUUGUUUUUAAGUGAAUGUUUUGUUUCGAAACUUAAGAUAUUUCAUGACUUAAGAGAACAGAAAACCCCAGAGGUACUUACUUUCCUAACAUUUUUUUGUUUUGUCCUUAUUACUUUUCUUAAGAGUACUGUUUCUCAAAGUGUAGACACUUGGGUCCGAAGCAUCAGCAUUACCUAGGAACUAAUUAGAAACGUACCCUAGACCAACUGAAUCAGAAACUCUAGGGUUCCAACAAAAGGUCCCAGCAGUCUAUGGAUCCACAAGCCCUCCAGGUGAUGGUGAUGCACUGAAGUUUGAGAACCACUGCACUGGAGUGGGACUCCUCAGCCUUAGCACUAUAGAUAUUUUGGAGUGGAUAAUUCUUGGUGUUGGGGCAGCGGCAGGGAGGGAGCUGUCUUAUGCAUUGUGAGCAUUUGGCAGCAUUCCUGGUCUUUCUCCCCACUCACUAGAUGCCAGUAACACAGUACUCCCCACUCUCUAUCAUGACAUUAAAAAAUACCUCCAGACAUUGCAAAAUAUUCCCUUGGGGGCAAAGUUGACCCAUUUGAGAACCACUGCUCUAGAGAGAAGUGAUGGAUACAACUGCUUUUCCUUCAGAGUAGCAGUGACCACUUAUGGAAUACCCAGUUUCUGUGCUGGGUACUUUACAUGAAUUAUCAUUGUCAUCAGAGCAGCCUUGCAGGAUAUGUUUAAAGGUUCAUAGCCUGGGCCAACCCGUUGAUGAAGUUUCUCAUCUGUUUCACCAGCCCAACCCGUGAGAACUAUUAUACUCAGUUGUUACAGGGACUCAUUUAGGGUAUAUUUGGAACAAAAGGAAUUUGGCAUAUAAGUGAAUUAAAGUUAUUUUAACCAGUUAACUCUUAUCUAUAAAUUUAACCAUGUGAACUUCUUAUUGUAGACUUAGCCCUACGUUUUUUUGGAUGGCUCUCAUUGUAUUUUUGCUGUAGUGACUGGCUGUUAAGUGACAAAUGAAUCAAUAGUAUGCUAUCAUUUCAGUAAGACUGAAGUGCUGACUUUUUUUAAAUAACGGUCUUCUAUAUUUUUCCUUUUCCCUCUUUUGCCUCCUUUCAUCCCCCUCUCCACUGUGCAGCACUUGAUCUAGUUCUGCAUAUCUUAGCCCUUUUUUCCUCUCUCUUCCCUCUCAUUUAAAUUGACCUAGUCUCUGACCCAUUCCUUCAUUAUCUUUGUAGGGUCUGGAUGGCCAGAUUUACAUUUUAGUUUAACAACUUGUAAUUGCUACUGGCCAGUGUGUUACCUGUUUCCAGAUACCUCUUUCAUGCACUUUAAAAAAAAUUUUUUUUAUGUUUAUUCAUUUUUGAAAGAUAGAGAGAGACAGAGUACAAGCAGGGUUGGGGCGGAGAGAGAAGGGGACACAGAAUCUGAAGCACACUCCAGUCUCUGAGCUGUCAGCUCAGACUCGACGCGGGGCUCAAACUCACGAACCGCGAGAUCAUGACCUGAGCCGAAGUCGGACACUCAACUGACUGAGCCACCCAGGCGCCCCUAACUUUUUAACAAAGACCUAGACAUUAACUUUAUUGAAAAUUUCAGAAUUUCAAGCCCCUUCUCCCCCACUCUUCCACUCCCCACUCCCCUGACCUUCUGUUUACUCUGUGUCUGCCAAUGCAGACCAGUUUUGGUUAGUGACUGUGGUAAUGACUUCUGGAUGUCAGAAUUCUGUAUAUUAGAGAUGUUCUUGUCUGAACCAGAGAAGUGACUAUAGCUGUACAGCAGUGCUAAUUUCUUAUUAUUCAUGUCUCUUCUCUUUGAUUGCUGUAGAAACUGUCAAAGAUUCAGAAAUUCUUUUAUGUGAAAAUCACAUUUACAAUUAUUAAACCAUGCCAGUAUUUUAAUUCGUAUGCAGAGAGUUGCAAGAUUUUAACCCCAAAACUAGAAUAGAAAUAGUUAAUUUAAAAAGUGAGUGCAAAAUAAACAAAUUUUUUCAUCUAAGAUACAGUGUGUUCCCUCAAGUCCUGAUUAUUAUCUUCAGAGUAUCUUUCUGUAUAAUAAGCAUUUCUUGUCACAGGGUCCCUUUAGAAUUAAGGCUAUCCUUGAUAUCUGGGCUUUUUUGACAUAUAGUUUAUUUCUUUCCCACUAGAAGGAUAUCAAUAAAAUACCCCAAACUGUAUUUUUAAUUGGAGUUGAUUUCAUAAAAUAUUUAACCAAAAAUACUUCAUUUUGACUAGCUUUAAGCCAUAGUGAAAGCUAAACAAGAAAAAGAGCCACAAAAACAUGGCUCUUUUUCUUAAACUAGCUUCUUGGUUUUGUUAAUAUACACCUCAGAUUUUUCCCUACAGUAUUGUGCUGUUAGCCAGCAUUUUUUUUCAUUUAUUUUAAGGUGAAAAAUUUUUUUUUAAUGUUCAUUUAUUUUUGUGAAAGAGAGAGCAAGCAGAGGAGGGGCAGAGAGAGAGAGAGAAUGAGAGAGAAAGAGAAUCCCAAGCAGGCUCCACACUGUCAGCGCAGAGCGUGAUGUGGGGCUUGAACUCACGAACCAUGAGAUCAUGACUUGAGCUGAAAUCAAGAGGUGGACCCUUAACCGACUGGGCCACCCAAGCACCCCAAGGUGAAAUUAUCUGUAUGUAGGAUUUUAAAACUCUGAGAAAACAUCUUUUACAUAUUUUUUUGCAAGAUAAAAAGUAUUGAUAUUUGUCCACUCAAAAUGUAAGGAGAGGUUGGAUGAGAGAGCAGUCAGUGCUCUCUAAUCUCUAGGAAGUAGGAGGAGAAAGAAGACAAUUCCAUAACCUUAUUGAGUUAAGGGGAAGAACUUUAAACUUAAAGUUUUCUCACCCAUAUUUUUAUAAUAAUUUAUUUUCAGGUGUUACUACACUCAAAAGAAUACCAUAUGGCAUUUAAAUAUUUGAUUUAUAGGGGUGCCUGGGUGGCUCAGUCGGUUAAGCGUCCGACUUCGGCUCAGGUCAUGAUCUCGCAGUCCGUGGGUUCGAGCCCCGCGUCGGGCUCUGUGCUGACAGCUCAGAGCUUGGAGCCUGUUUCAGAUUCUGUGUCUCCCUCUUUCUCUGACCCUCCCCUGUUCAUGCUCUCUCUCUGUCUCAAAAAUAAAUAAAUGUUAAAAAAAUUUUUU